AUGGAUUUUUUGUUUCUUUACUGGCUUCAUAUAAUUCUGAAAACAUAAGUUUUCUUAAAGCAUCUUGCUCAUAUCUCUCAUCAAAGGGUGAUAUUCUAUAAUCUUUCAAAUAUUUGUCCCACAUUCAUUCGGGAGGGUACUCCUAAGGGAUUGAAGACCAUAUCAACAAGUGUUCCAUCUUGCAAAUAG
rnacentral:rRNA from 1 species